UACGGAGGAUCCGAGCAUUAUCCGGAUUUAUUGGGUUUAAAGGGUGCGCAGGCGGGAGAUUAAGUCGGCGGUGAAAUUUUGCAGCUCAACUGUAAAAGUGCCUUCGAAACUGGUUUCCUUGAGUGUAGAUGAAGUAGGCGGAAUUUGUGGUGUAGCGGUGAAAUGCUUAGAUAUCACGAGGAACUCCGAUUGCGCAGGCAGCUUACUAAACUACUACUGACGCUCAGGCACGAAGGCGUGGGGAUCAAACAGGAUUAGAUACCCUGGUA
rnacentral:rRNA from 1 species